rnacentral:rRNA from 1 species
UACGAAGGGGGGCUAGCGUUGUUCGGAUUUACUGGGCGUAAAGCGCACGUAGGCGGUUUGUUAAGUCAGGGGUGAAAUCCCAGAGCUCAACUCUGGAACUGCCUUUGAUACUGGCAAGCUAGAGUCCGGAAGAGGUAAGUGGAACUCCUAGUGUAGAGGUGGAAUUCGUAGAUAUUAGGAAGAACACCAGUGGCGAAGGCGGCUCACUGGUCCGGUACUGACGCUGAGGUGCGAAAGCGUGGGGAGCAAACAGG